rnacentral:rRNA from 1 species
CGACCGGCGCACGGGUGAGUAACACGUAUGCAACCUGGCCGUCACAGGUGGAUAACCGGAAGAAAUUCCGACUAAUACAGCAUAACACUCCUGAGGGACAUCCUUCGGGAGUCAAAGGAGGCAACUCCGGUGACGGAUGGGCAUGCGGCGCAUUAGGUAGUUGGUGGGGCAACGGCCCACCAAGCCGACGAUGCGUAGGGGUUCUGAGAGGAAGGUCCCCCACAUUGGAACUGAGACACGGUCCAAACUCCUACGGAAGGCAGCAG